rnacentral:lncRNA from 1 species
AUGACUUUUCUCAGAGAAGACUGUGUAAUGAACGGAGACCAAGAAGAACACUGCUCCAUUGAUUCCUAUCAAGCCAUGGGACUCUGGCUGCAGACAGUUCAUAUUGGGACUUUACCUGGGAAACAAGUUGUGGAAAUAAGUGCUGAAACAGAAUUCAUCUUGGACUUGGCAAAGCAUUUGGAAAAACUACAAGCACACAUUACUACUAUAGUGAGACAGAAAUUUUGCCAGAUAUUUCUGAACAGUUUUGCAUAAAUUUCAAUAUAUAUAUAUGUUCUUAUUUAGCAAAUGUUUAUUUAGCUAUCACUGCAGUUUUCCUUUAAGGGUCUAGGAAGGGCCCAGGGAGAGCGACAAAACCACCAGCUUUUGCUGAGGGAUGAUUUGCCCCACAGCCAUACUGUGUGCUCAGAGUCUGGAGACAAAUUUUAGGGCCUGGAUUUAUUUAUAGUGUUUAAUAGAUGCUUUGAUAAUUACUUGCAUGGGAGUGGAAAACAAAUUCUCCAGAUUAAAAACCAUAAAGAAAGCUUGUUUGGAUUAGCAUGAUCAACCAAAAGCAUCCAUUUGAUUCUUGGUGUGUAUAUAUAAUUUACUGAGCUGCAAAAUAAACACACUCUACUGUUCCUCUGUUGAAGGCUC